rnacentral:rRNA from 1 species
GAUGAACGCUGGCGGCGUGCCUAAUACAUGCAAGUCGAGCGAACAGAUGAGGAGCUUGCUCCUCUGACGUUAGCGGCGGACGGGUGAGUAACACAUGGAUAACCUACCUAUAAGACUGGGAUAACUUCGGGAAACCGGAGCUAAUACCGGAUAAUAUAUUGAACCGCAUGGUUCAAUAGUGAAAGACGGUUUUGCUGUCACUUAUAGAUGGAUCCGCGCCGCAUUAGCUAGUUGGUAAGGUAACGGCUUACCAAGGCAACGAUGCGUAGCCGACCUGAGAGGGUGAUCGGCCACACUGGAACUGAGACACGGUCCAGACUCCUACGGGAGGCAGCAGUAGGGAAUCUUCCGCAAUGGGCGAAAGCUUGACGGAGCAACGCCGCGUGAGUGAUGAAGGUCUUCGGAUCGUAAAACUCUGUUAUUAGGGAAGAACAAAUGUGUAAGUAACUAUGCACGUCUUGACGGUACCUAAUCAGAAAGCCACGGCUAACUACGUG